GGGGAUGAAUUGAUUCGACGGGAAAGGCACAUUAAAAACUGCAAGCCGGCUUUGAUUAACAGCCGUAAAAAAGAAUCAAAAAAUAAAUGCUAACGGUUUCCGUUAUGCGCCUCAACCAGCUUAUGCUGGGGUAAGCAAUUGCCUCACCGCUUAAACUGUUUAGGCUGUUCAUAUCGUCUUUUCUCAAUGGGACUUUAUGAGCAAAAUACAGUUGAGAAAAUGGAAGGAAAAUGGUUUGGUCCUUUCUGAUUUUAAAACCUUUGUUUUAUUUUUAACUUGUUGAUUGGUGAUAAAUAAAAUAAGAUUAAAAAAUCAACUAUGCUUGUAGAAGUUUUUAAGUAAAUUUCUUGGACUCCGGGUCACUCCCGGACAUCUCCACAC
rnacentral:tmRNA from 1 species